rnacentral:rRNA from 1 species
UACGAGGGGUGCAAGCGUUGCUCGGAAUUAUUGGGCGUAAAGGGUAGGUAGGUGGUCUCAUUUGUCUGGGGUGAAAUCCUUGAGCUUAACUCAAGAAGUGCCUCAGAAACGGUGAGACUAGAGUACUGGAGAGGGUCGUGGAAUUCCCGGUGUAGCGGUGAAAUGCGUAGAGAUCGGGAGGAACACCAGCGGCGAAGGCGGCGACCUGGACAGUCACUGACACUCAACUACGGAAGCGUGGGGAGCAAACAGG